UUCAAACCUCAGAAUCAGACACCAAACUGAAGACAAACACCUCACCACAGCCCACCGUACGGAAGACAUUGCCACGGUCACGACCAUCACCUCCACCGCAAAGCACCAUCGGAACAACCACAGAUCUCAGGUAAUGUUGGUCGUCUUCCGCAGUUGGUUCCUGAUCAAACCCUCAAGCUAAAGCAACUUACUGUGCUAACACUGGCUGAGACAGACAAGGAUUUGCCCUAUGAUAUACUGAUGCAGGAGUUGGAUGUGACAAACGUACGUGAACUUGAAGAUUUUCUUAUCAACGAGUGCAUGUAUGUGGUAG